CCUACGGGAGGCUGCAGUGGGGAAUAUUGGACAAUGGGCGAAAGCCUGAUCCAGCCAUGCCGCGUGUGUGAAGAAGGCCUUCGGGUUGUAAAGCACUUUCAGUGGGGAAGAAAGCCUUGGGGCUAAUACCCUCGAGGAAGGACAUCACCCACAGAAGAAGCACCGGCUAACUCCGUGCCAGCAGCCGCGGUAAUACGGAGGGUGCGAGCGUUAAUCGGAAUUACUGGGCGUAAAGCGCGCGUAGGCGGUCUGAUAAGCCGGUUGUGAAAGCCCCGGGCUCAACCUGGGAACGGCAUCCGGAACUGUCAGGCUAGAGUGCAGGAGAGGAAGGUAGAAUUCCCGGUGUAGUGGUGAAAUGCGUAGAGAUCGGGAGGAAUACCAGUGGCGAAGGCGGCCUUCUGGACUGACACUGACGCUGAGGUGCGAAAGCGUGGGUAGCAAACAGGAUUAGAUACCCGAGUAGUC
rnacentral:rRNA from 1 species